rnacentral:lncRNA from 1 species
CCUUACUGUGGCUAGCCUUCUAAUUUUACCCUUCCACAUCUCACACUCAAACCCCCACUCUCCCAUUUUUAUAGAAACGAAAUUCCCCAAUCGGCCAAUAAUUUCUUCCUCUUUCAUCGGCGACGACAGCGUGGAUUUGACUGGAAAUUCCCUACAGGUUCAAGAGAACUAUGUAUCCAUAUUCUACCUCGAUUAGUGUCGAAAAUCUACCUUUCUUUUUCUAUGGUUUUACAAAUCGAAUUCCUCUUACAAAAAUACGUGAUGAUGGCAAAAUAGUUCGUAAAAGUAAUAUUAACUUUGAGCUAUCUGUUUAGUAACAUAAGAUAUCUACAACAUAGCAACAGUUCUUGAUUUUCUCCUGCACUUACCCUUUUCUUGGUGAAGUAUCCUAAUAUUCUGACUUACGCAUAUAAAUUGGAACUAGAAUUUAAAAUUUUGUUGUUUGAUUCCUUCUUUUUUUCAAUUUUGUAAAGAAAUCAGACUAUAAUAUGCUUCUAAAUGUUUUCGAAUCGGGGAUUUAUAUGAAUUUUGAUCUUCAUUAUGUAAUUACAAGUGUUUGUAAUUUUCCUUGGAAUAUUGUUUUGUACUAAAUUUUUGAAAUUUUUUAAUGGCGUUUAUGGUAUAAUUAUAUGUUAUUGAGCAGAGAGGAUUCCUAGGUUUGUUUUGGAAUGGGAACGCAUGAAUUUGUGAUAUAAUGUUUUGUUUGCUUUUUAAUAAGGAUAUGCAAUGAGAAAGAUUGUUUUUGACGUUACAUGUUUCCUUCGUUUUGAUUUCAGUUUUCAGUGCUCAAUUUGUUUUCUCAGGGUUCAUGUUAGUAUUUUUUUGUUGAUUAAUUCUUUUAGGUUCUUUCAUAUGGGGUUUGGAAUGACGAGAAUUUGAAAUCAUGCUCUAUUCUUAUUAUUGAAUCUGCAUCACAUGUCCGACGACUUGCACAUCUAUGUUACUUGUUCUAAGACUUCGUUGCACAUAUUUUGCAAAACAAUUUCUUCAGGAUAAGUUCCUAAGCCGAUACUAACAAGCCAAACUUACUGUUUUUUCUUUUUCAGACUCUAUUUCCUUUCUAGUGGGCAAUACUUGUAGUGUUGUUAUAAAUUUAAAAUUUUGUAUGUAUACAUGUACCAAAACUCUGCAUCUCGUGUAUAUUUCAUUUUCCUUCUCAGACGCAUAUGGACUUCCACACUGCCUCAACUUCCAACCCCUAACCAAUCUCGACCCAAGCCUGUGCAAAGAGGACUGCCCAGUGGAUGCCAGAAGAUAAUCGAGUCUUCAUUAUCGCUUGUGAGAUCGUAAUAGUCGACGAGCACUGUAGUGGGAAGUGCUUCACGAAACAUGGCUGGCACACAAUUGUCCAAUUGUUCAACACCAUAUCCGGGCAUGAUUGGAGUAGGCAGCAGUUGAAAAAUCAUUAGGAUUAUCUUCGGGUCAAGUAUAAACGUCUCCAGAACUUGACAGACAGCACCGACAUCGCAUACGACUCUGCACGUGACCACCUAGUCGAGUCCGAUGAGUGGUGGGUGCAAAAGAUUAAGGUACAAAUCUGCUUGAAUUGCCACUUUCCAAAUUCGAAUGUUGACCAGCACCCUAGUAUUUGUUUCAUUUGUGCAUGGAAGUUUUACUCAAACAUGUCGCAAUUGGAGCUUAUGUCAUAACAUUUAGUUGUGUAAUUCUAUAUUUUUAUUCCUUACGCGGUUCCUUACUCGUUGUGCAUUUCUUUUUCUUCCAUUCUGAAUAGGAGAACAAAGAGUUCAAAGACAAAGACUGUAGAGAGACAUAUGCCUAUCGACUUUUGUUCGUCGACACGUUUGACAGCGAGAAGUAUGCAACGACGUUGAAGAAGCUGUGCAGGACUGGGUUUGCUAUGUUCGAAGACAGUGCAAACGACGACACGCGUGAUACAAUGCCGAUGUACGAAGAGAGCAGCGGCUCCAAUGAUGAGGGUAACAAGUUAGACAGGUCCACAUCAAGCAUGGACGUCUCCGACCGUAGGAGUGAAGAGAAACGUAGAUCCAAAGACAGUAAAAGCAAGGAAAAGAGAACUAAAAUAUCGGCUAAGGAAUUGUCGUACUCAGUUGAUUGAGCCACAACUUAGUCGGAUCCAAUGUUCCGAGCAUGAAGACAUGCAUGAAAGAGUUGUUCGCAACGCGCAUGAUGCAAAAGUAAACUUACCUCUACUUUUGGACCUGCACGUUUCUGUCUUUAAAGUGGAACAUGGAGGUUCUCGAGAUGCAGGAGGAUGCGAACGAGAAAAUGGAUUGGUUGGAGUAGAACUGGCACGAGUAUAGGAAAAGACGACCGCAAUGAGAACUGCGUGCGGGGCUGAAUAAAUUUUAAACGUUAUAGAGGGUCUUCAUGGAACGAGUAUUUGCUUUGUUAUUUUUUUCGUUUUAGUUGGUUUGCGAUUCGUCAACUUCAAAAUGUUGUUGUCGUGUAUUUUUUGUAUCCAUGUAUGUAGUAGGAACUACUGAGAUUUCAUGUCCAUGUUUGUCGUUUGUACUUAUACAAUGUUCACAAAACUGCUUGUUAGUUUGAGUUUGUCAACAAUUGUCAUGCAUAAUUGAGCAUCUCUGACAACCUAUCUAUGCUAUAAAGUUCAAUAGAUAGGGGAAUCUCUU